GGAAGAUUUGGGGCAGAUCAAGGACAGUCGAGGUUCUGGAGAUGAGAACACGUCCCUGAAAUCAUGGAAGGCCACACAGCUGAGGAGAACCGACAGAGGGAAGAAGCCUCUGGGCUGGUGAAGGCCAGUCAAGGUUCUGGAGAUGAGAACACGUCCCUGAACUCAUGGAAGGUCACACUGAUGAAUGGGGGAGGAUUCGGGGGCUUUGGCCUUGGACAUGUCCAGAAUGAUUCAAUGUUUGAUUAAAAUUUUCAAUAAAAUGUUCAGCUUAAUGAGGG